GAUGAACGCUGGCGGCGUGCCUAACACAUGCAAGUCGAGCGAACAGAUCACGUUCGGGCUCCUCUGAUGGUGACGGCGGACGGGUGAGGAACGCGUGCAUAACCUAUCUAUAAGACAGGGAUAACUACGUGAAACUGGAGCUAAUACCGGAUAAUAUAUUGAUCCGCAGGGUUGAAUAGUGAAAGAGGGUUUUGAUGUAACCGAGAGAUGGAUCCGCGACGCAUUAGUUAGUGGGUAAGGUAACGGCUUAGCAAGGCAACGAUGGGUAGCCGACCUGAGAGGGUGAACGAGCCCACAGGAGGUGAGCCGCGGUCCAGGCACUUACGGGCGGCCGAGAUUGCGAAUGUUCGGCGCUGGGCGGAAGCCUGGCGGAGCGGCGCAAGGUGGGUGAUGCAGGUCUUCGGGUCGUAAAACUCUGUUCUUAUUGAAAACCACAUUUAUCAGUAGCUAUGCUCGUCUUGACGGUACCUAAUGAGGAAGCAACGGCUAACUACGUG
rnacentral:rRNA from 1 species